AUAUAAAUUACUUUGUGUUUAAUUACAGGCCUGCUACCUUUCCUUGCUAUGUUAUAAUUUUGGUGUAGAAACCUAUGAACUGAAAAGAUAUGAGCAGAGUUCCUUUUGGCUGAGGCUAAAGUGCUGCGGUUAUUGGCUACUGUGUAUUUGGACUGGGACUACAAACAAUAUCAAGAGAAAGCUCUCAGAGCAG
rnacentral:lncRNA from 1 species